CUCCAAAUUUAUUGAGCACUCACUGUAUACCAGGUGCUAUGUUCUAGGUACUAGAAAAGAAUGAUGGAAAAAAGUUUAUGUAGCUUCUACCCUCCUGUGUGGUACGUAGGCUGAUGGAAGAGUCAGACUUUAAACAAAAUGAGCAGGAGAGCAACUGAUUGCAUUUUUGGCAAGUGCUAGAAAGCAAAUGUGUGGUGUCAGAGAUGGAGUUAGUGCUAAAGUAUAAUUUAAACUGAGAUCUAAGUAUUUGCCAGGAGUUAGUCCAGUGAAGGAAGGACAAGGGUAGAGUAUUCCCAUCAGAGACAGCUACAGGGAAAAAGUCUUGUGGAAUUGAACUUGGCACAUCUUCAGGAAGGAGUAACAUGAGGGGUGGUCAGAGAGAUAAAGGAGCAAGGUCCUGCUCUGUCUUGAAGGUGCAGUAAGGACUUGGACUACAGUCAGAGGGAGUGCAUAAGAGCUUAAAACUUCCCAGAGUAAUGACCUGUUGAAAUUGGGGUUUUUUAUAGGUGACUGCUAUGUAGGGAACAAACCAAGUAACUGUUGAAGUGGUCCACUAGAGAGACAGUAGUAUCUUGGUCUUGGGUGGGUGGGUGGAGCAGUUAUAAAUGACAGAUCACCAAAAAAAGACGUAGAAUCACAGCAUGUGGCAGGAAGGAAUGGUGCCUUACGUGGGCUGCAGGCACGGCAGGUUACAAACUGAUCCAUGGGCCAGAAAGCAUGCAACAAAAACUGUUAAGUGGACUGUUAAGUCGUCUGGUACUCUUAAAAUAUUUACUGUCUGGCCUUUCAUGGAAUGUUUACAGAUCUCUAAACUAGAUGGUUGUGGGAUCUUAGAACCCCAAAUGACUUGGCUAAAGACUUUCCUUAGGGUAAACUUCAUAUUCUAGGACCAAGACCCCUGGACCUGGGGCCCAGUCAGCCCUGAGAGCCCUUGCCCGCUCAGGAAUGAAGAUAGGACGGAUUGAGGAUGUCACCCCCAUCCCCUCUGAUAGUACCCGCAGGAAGGGGGGUCGCCGUGGUCGCCGUCUGUGAACAGGAGUCCUCAGAUUACUUUCUGUUAAUAAAUUGUCUUUGUGUGAGCUA